GUGUCAGCAGCCGCGGUAAUACGUAGGGCGCAAGCGUUGUCCGGAUUCACUGGGUGUAAAGGGUGCGUAGGCGGGAGAGUAAGUCCGCGGUGAAAUCUCACAGCUCAACUGUGAAACUGCCGUUGAUACUGCUUUUCUUGAGUUCGGGAGAGGUUGAUGGAAUUCCGGGUGUAGCGGUGAAAUGCGUAGAUAUCUGGAAGAACACCAGUGGCGAAGGCGGUCAACUGGCCCGUAACUGACGCUGAGGCACGAAAGCGUGGGGAGCGAACAGGAUUAGAUACCCUGGUAGUCC
rnacentral:rRNA from 1 species